AAAAGCUCGUAGUUGGAUCUCAGCUGCGGUCGGACGGUCCGUCAUUCGGCGGCUACUGUCCGUUGCCCAGCGUUCGGGCGGUUAUCCUUGAUGAUCUUCGCCGGUUGUCUCGGUUGACCGCCAAGUUUACUUUGAAAAAAUUAGAGUGCUCAAAGCAGGCGUGACGCCUGGAUAAUUGUGCAUGGAAUAAUGGAAUAGGACCUCGGUUCUAUUUUGUUGGCUUUCGGAGCACGAGGUAAUGAUUAAGAGGGACAGACGGGGGCAUUCGUAUUGCGACGCUAGAGGUGAAAUUCUUGGACCGUCGCAAGACGAACUACUGCGAAAGCAUUUGCCAAGAAUGUUUCCAUUAAUCAAGAACGAAAGUUAGAGGCUCGAAGGCGAUCAGAUACCGCCCUAGUUCUAACCAUAAACGAUGCCAGCCAGCGAUCAGGCUGCGUUCCUCAAAUGACGCGCCUGGCAGCUUCCGGGAAACCAAAGCCUUUGGGUUCCGGGGGAAGUAUGGUUGCAAAGCUGAAACUUAAAGGAAUUGACGGAAGGGCACCACCAGAAAUGGAGCCUGCGGCUUAAUUUGACUCAACACGGGGAAGCUCACCCGGCCCGGACACAGGAAGGAUUGACAGAUUAAGAGCUCUUUCUUGAUUCUGUGGGUGGUGGUGCAUGGUCGUUCUUAGUUGGUGGGGCGACUUGUCUGGUUAAUUCCGAUAACGAACGAGACUCCAGCCUAUUAAAUAGGCGUUCCCAUCUUGUGUGGGACGUUCUUCUUAGAGGGACAGGCGGCGUUUAGCCGCACGAGACGGAGCAAUAACAGGUCUGUAAUGCCCUUAGAUGUCCGGGGCCGCACGCGCGCUACAUUGAAGGAAUCAGCGUGUGCUUUCCUCGUCCGAAAGGACUGGGUAACCCGUUGAACCUCCUUCGUGCUGGGGAUUGGCGCAUGUAAUUGCCGCCAUGAACGAGGAAUUCCCAGUAAGCGCGAGUCAUCAGCUCGCGUUGAUUACGUCCCUGCCCUUUGUCCACACCGCCCGUCGCUACUACCGAUUGAAUGAUUUAGUGAGGUCUCCGGACUGGCGCUCGGAUUGGCCUUCGCGGUCGAGCCGGUGUGCCGGAAAGAUGACCAAACUUGAUCACUUAGAGGAAGUAAAAGUCGUAACAAGGUUUU
rnacentral:rRNA from 1 species